AUUGAGCGCUGGCGGCAGGCCUAACACAUGCAAGUCGAGCGGAUGAAGGGAGCUUGCUCCUGGAUUCAGCGGCGGACGGGUGAGUAAUGCCUAGGAAUCUGCCUGGUAGUGGGGGAUAACGUCCGGAAACGGGCGCUAAUACCGCAUACGUCCUGAGGGAGAAAGUGGGGGAUCUUCGGACCUCACGCUAUCAGAUGAGCCUAGGUCGGAUUAGCUAGUUGGUGGGGUAAAGGCCUACCAAGGCGACGAUCCGUAGCUGGUCUGAGAGGAUGAUCAGUCACACUGGAACUGAGACACGGUCCAGACUCCUACGGGAGGCAGCAGUGGGGAAUAUUGGACAAUGGGCGAAAGCCUGAUCCAGCCAUGCCGCGUGUGUGAAGAAGGUCUUCGGAUUGUAAAGCACUUUAAGUUGGGAGGAAGGGCAGUAAGUUAAUACCUUGCUGUUUUGACGUUACCAACAGAAUAAGCACCGGCUAACUUCGUG
rnacentral:rRNA from 1 species